CUCCUUCCUUGGGGGCUUUUAAAUAGAGGCUGGAUGGCCAUCUGUCAGGGGUACUUUGUGCUUUUCCUAUAUGGCAGGGGUUGGAUUAGAUGGCCCAUGUGGUAUCUUCCAACUCUAUAAUUCUAUGUUUCAGAUGCAUUGAAUAUAAUGAGAAGGAUUGAAAGAUGCUGGGAAAAUGUCAUUUCGUUUAUUUGUUUUACAUCCCACCAUUCUCUCAAUAUGGGAUUGUCUUUCCGUAUAAAAGGCCCCUCUGUCAUUUUGGACCUGGCAGGAAGACAAGACAAGAGACAAGGAGAGAUGGAGCUGAAUAUAUUUUUGCAUCCAUUUUCCCAGGGGUCUCUUUGCCUGCUAAGAUGAAGCUAUGGAAGUAUAUUAAACAUGAACAGCUGCCACUGUCUUGAUUUCACCUGGUAUAAAACCAUGUAGAGUGCAUCCUGAAAAUGAUCUCAAAGGACAGCUUGUCCAACACUUUCUUUCCACUGACUAUAGGAAAGAGCUACCAGUUCAUACUGUGCCUGUAUAUGUAUAUGUGUUUGUAUGUGAGUGUCUAACCUCAUUAAACUGAAGAUGCUGUGCUCA
rnacentral:lncRNA from 11 species